rnacentral:rRNA from 1 species
GAUGAACGCUGGCGGCGUGCUUAACACAUGCAAGUCGAACGGUGAACCCGGAGCUUGCUCUGUGGGAUCAGUGGCGAACGGGUGAGUAACACGUGAGCAACCUGCCCCUGACUCUGGGAUAAGCGCUGGAAACGGCGUCUAAUACUGGAUAUGUGACGUGACCGCACGGUCUGCGUUUGGAAAGAUUUUUCGGUUGGGGAUGGGCUCGCGGCCUAUCAGCUUGUUGGUGAGGUAAUGGCUCACCAAGGCGUCGACGGGUAGCCGGCCUGAGAGGGUGACCGGCCACACUGGGACUGAGACACGGCCCAGACUCCUACGGGAGGCAGCAGUGGGGAAUAUUGCACAAUGGGCGCAAGCCUGAUGCAGCAACGCCGCGUGAGGGAUGACGGCCUUCGGGUUGUAAACCUCUUUUAGCAGGGAAGAAGCGAAAGUGACGGUACCUGCAGAAAAAGCGCCGGCUAACUACGUG